AGGAAGUGUGCCUCUUUUCCCCUCUGCUCCUGCUCCAGUGGCACAAUGUGAUCCACUGGCAAUGAGGGACUCCAAUGAGGCGUCCAAUAAGAUAAUUUCGUUAUAUGGCCCAAGCUAGAGUGGACUUUUGAUCUGCUUGCCUCCGAUUCCCAAGAGCUGAGAGUAUAGGUAUGGACCACCAUGCUAGAAUCCUUGGGGGAAUUUCAUUUGACUGCAUAUCACAGAGUCACCAAGGAUGGGUUUUAAUCACAAGAAAGCCUUGGGAACAAAAGUCACAGCAUGAGAGGAGGUGACCAUGGGAACGUCAAAGUGGAAAACUCACUGGAUUCCCAUCACAAGCAAACCAGGAAAUAACCUGAAAUGUCUUCUAAGGCCAUACAGAGGAGGAGAACAAAACACAUGUAUCUAAGGAUCUAAGGGAAUCUGCUAACCCUUGGAGGGAACGGCAAGAGCUGUACCUUUUAGUCAUGUCCUGUCCUGUUCUCCCUCUGCUCAUGAGCAAAGCUCCACUCCAGGCAGCAGGCUCUGCUCCACUGUUCAUUGCUCUGGGCCAUGUGAGGGCUAGGCCUUCAGCUAACAGGGUCUGGGGUUUUAGAGCUCUUUGGCUCAUGACUUUUGCUUUGGUUCCAUUCUCACAGAUGAACCUAUUUUAAAGAUGACCUACUCAGUCCUUCUAGGGCCAGGAAUUCCUGCUGCGACAGAAAACAGAAUGGGAUGAAUAAAUGAGGCAUCGGAGUUUAGGUGCUCUGUUUCCUGGGGGAAAUCGCUACGCUUCUCUUAGUAUCCAUUCCUCCACAGGAAGUAGGAGGGGACAGAGACAGAGAGAAACAGAAAGAGACAGAAUCUGAACAAAUAAAGAUGACAUCUCAAACUGUGAUGAGACCUGCUGUCCCUUACUCUGUCUUGUUCUCUUACUCCUUUUCUCCCCUUCUCUUGUUCUCUCUAGCUUUCUCCUUCUCUCCCUCCCUUUUCCUGUGAAGAGUGUUUACCACCUGAAACUCUCCAGAAGACGUGGAGGGUGUCACUUGGUACCCUCUGUUAGAGUUUACGAUGCCCCUAUUAAGGCAAGAGGACUUGGGGCAAGAAUGUCCUGGUGGGAACCUAAGUAAGACUUAUAGUUGGAGCAAAUGGAAGCAAUGGGACAAUUUAUACACACGUGAGAGCUUUGGCCAGAAGAGUGAGGACUUGCACCCUGAAAAUGGGAGCACUUUUGUUUUCCCCCCAGUUUCUCUCCCUUUCCUGGGUGUGGAAGUACAGGAGGGAUGUGACCUCCUGCCAUGUGCCAGACCUCACUUGCCUUCCUGUGAACUCUGAGUUUCCCAGACUUUGGCCAUUUGCCUAAGUGUUCCCUCAUGCGCACACCUGCUGUGCCCUUAUUUGUUAAAUAGUUUCUCUUAAAUAUUUUUUUUUCAACUUGAAUAUCCACUUGGAACCCAUACUAACUAUUGACAUAAGAGAGUUUGUUUUGUUAGUUAUUUGCUAAGGCAUAUGAAAAUAAUGGGAACGGAAGAGUAUUCCCGUCUGAAAGCUCAAGGUGUCACGAUCUGGGAAUCCAUCAGUGAGGAUUCCUCCAGUCCUUGCAACUGUUCUCGGAGGUGGGGAUCAUUAUUAUCACCACACACAGGAUGAAACUAAGUUUCUUUGAGAGACUGGGGAACUUUCCCAGGAAUACAAAGGCAUCGAAGACAGAGGAAGACUCAAAACUAUUGUCCUCUAGAACUGUGCUCUUUUAUUUCAGUUUGCCCUGUAAUGGGGAGUGAGUGCAAGAAGAGGCUUACAAAAGCAGGGCCUUGUUCAGUACUCACCAAGACCCAAGCUCCAUCUGUCCUUCCCUCCCUUGUAGACGUCUUGUGUCUGUCCCCUCAGCAGUCAUGAUGCCACCAAACCGAGGCUUUGAUGUGUGUUUGUCAGGCAGUGGCUUUGUUUCCCAGCAUCUCCCACUAUGGCUAUGGGCUGUUCAGAGUUGCUCGAAGCCUUCUUAAUCUCACCCUUUCAGAGUCCCAACCCAGCUCCUCCUGAAUGUUUGGUUCUUGCCUGGGCAAACACAAAACUUUGCCUUACAUGGGGCCUUGAGAAUCAGUUUGCUAUCACAGUAGUAAGUUGUGGGCAUUAUUCUGGAACAAAUGGAAAGUAUUCUUGCAACUUCUCUUAAUCCCCAACAGUACCUAGUUGCCUAGCACAAGUGACUCACUUGGUUGAUAAACAAAAGAAGGAUUCCCUGCCACCUACCCUGUGGCCCCUUCACCCAGAUCUCCCUCCCAAGCACCUGGUCCAUGAAAUCCAAAGAACAUCAAAGGGUCAUGUGAAGGCCUGGCCUUGGCUUACCUCUCUGCUAUGGUCUUCCCUGAUAACAGCUAUGUCUGAAGCAGCAGAGACAGGGAAGGGUGUAGAAGAACGUGUGUAAUGAGCAGAGAACUGAGUUUACUAUGGGCCUAGAGCAUGCCAACCACUGUUACCGAUACUUGAGUCUAUUACCUUAUUUAGCACCAUCAAUAGCUCCCAGCAGGUAGGCAUCGCAAAGCCCACCCUAUAGAUAAAAUCCUGGGGAGAAACUUUAAGGGCCAUGCCCAAGGCCACACAGCUAUUAAAGAGCAAAAUGAAGAUCUGAACCUGGGUCCAUCUAACUCUAAAGUCCACAGACUCUAUGACCUCCAGAUGAGAGAGAAUGGUUUACAAAAGCAUUUCAGGGUUAUCUAAUCCAGUGCUUGCAAAAUUGUAUGCUCUAGAACACCAGUUUUUUUUUUUUUCAGAUCUGAAGAGGAAGAGGCCAACAAUUGUUGGGGAAAUUUGGUUAAAACUCAAUCAGAUGUUUUCAUUGUAGGAUUUUUGAGUCUUUAUGAAGUCCAUGUGAGUCUCCAAAGGUGCAGCAUGUCUCAUGGUCUACAUCACCCAAGGGCAUUGUUUAUAUGUGAAACAAUGCGCGUGUACACACACACACACACACACACACACACACACACACACACACACACACACACGGAGAAUAGUUUGGAAAAUGCUCUUCCUUCACACCCCUUUGGGUAUAAGGAGGAAGGAAGAGGUGUGCCCAAGUAACAAGAUAACCCAAAGUGAGGUGUUUCACGCACAUCACAGCCUCAUUUCUGUUCUGCUAGCCUGUUUCCAAAGAUGACGCUCGGUUUGUUGGUCAUUAAGAAGAAGAUACACCUGCCAGUCACCAUGGUAAACAAGACAUGAUAGCAACCUUACAGCAGUGUGUAGUUGGCAUUGAGAAAGCCAUGGCCUGGGGUUAGGAAUGCCCUCUAUAGGGACGAGUGGGUAGAUGUUUUCUGGUCCUGCAAUGUGCCAACAUGCCUUUUGGGAAUCUGAGAUGUGUUAGUGUUACUAAUUCAUCCAUCACAAAUAGCAAGCCAUUGUCUGGUGUCAAUCCCAUCCUCAAAAUUCCUUCUUGUACAAUAAUACAAGAAACAGUUGGCAUGUGUGUACAUUACUUUGGUUUCUGUUGACACUGUAUAAAACCCUUCUGCAACGUGGUGGUGGUGGUGGUGGGGUUGGUACAGCACGAUUCCUGGAGUGUCUAACCCCAGAACCAUUACAGAAUGUCAGGCAGAAAGAGAUCUUGGUGACUCAGCAAUCCAAACCCAGGCUGUAAAUGAACAAGGAAUACUGGAGGAACAGGACUUGCUGUGGUCUCCUGGUCUUGGAGACCCAGCUGGCUGGUGUACCUGCUGUACUCACUAGCCUGCUGUUUAUGUUCAGUGUGACAGCUAAGCCAUUUGAAGUGGAAAGUCAAAAUCCUUCUACAUAUACGUAACUGCACUUUUGGGUGGGUUACUCUUGGUCUCCGGGUCUGUUUUCUUACUACAAGAAGCAGAAAGUUGGAUUUGAACUUUCCCCUGGCUGCAAAUUUCUGUGUCUUCCACUGGAGAGGCCAUCUAGUCAAAGACCGUUUGUCAAUCUACAGAUGCUUCACGUUGCCACCCAUCUUGUCCACUUACUGGCCUUAUGUUCUCUGAUUGUAUGUUCAGUACUCUGAGGUCUCAGAUGGGUGGGACUUACUGCUGGGAAAGCACGCAUUAAAGCUAACAUGCUGGGACAAGAGCACAGACAUGGGAUAGUCGCCAUUAGCUGUCAUGAGGUUCUUCAGUGUCUGUUGGCGUUUCUGAGUCUUGACUCAGAAAGGCAUUAACUAUUUCUUUUUCUUCUCUUUUGUCUCUUUCAGAUGCUGGAUGGAGCCUACGUAUGCUUUUUCUGGUACUUGGGGCAUCUACAAUCUCUCUCUAAAACUCGCCUCCCUCCCAUAUGUCUGUGUGCUCACCAUGUUGCUGGUCUCCAUGCCUACUCAACUCAAACAGGAUGGAUUUGCUAGCACUGAAGACAGAUGCAGGUUCAGUUACAACAGCAUCAGCAUCAUCAGCAUCAUCAGCAUCAUCACCAUCAGCAUCAUCACCAUCAUCACCAUCAUCACCAUCAGCAGCAGCAGCGGCAGCAGUGGCAGCAAUGUUUUAGAGAUGUUGGCUAUCUUGUCAUUUUACAUUCUUCUUCAGUCUGGUGAGUGGAGUCCUGGGAAAUGUCUAAUAAGAUUUCCUUGGCCUCUGGCAGAGACCACCCAUUAGUACUUGAAUUCUUCCCAAAAAGAAAAACAAUGUGAACACCUCUCCCAAAACAUUUGCAUUUAUGGUAGCCACAUUCUCCCCUCACCCCUGACUCUGUCAUCCAUUCCUCCUGGGAUGUUUGGUAAUAAAGACCUCUGCAGCCAUGAUUUUGAAAGAGAGCAAGGAAGGGUAUAUGGGAAGGCCUGGAGGGAGGAAAGGGAAGGGGGAAAUGAUGCAAGUUUAUUACAAUCUCAAAAACUUCAUAUUAACAUACAAAAUGAAGCCAUUUCUUAUUUCUGUCUUCAAUACUGAAACUCCUGGAGAAUAAAUAAACGCUCUUUGUGGGGCCAUCUGGCCCUCCCAUCUGGGAGAGACAUUAAUACCAGGUGCUGCUUGGGGGGAUUUCCCACAUGUUUAUUUUCUGCUUUCUCCACCAAGCAGUUAUUAUUUUACAUUUGUGAUUGGUGGCUCAUGGAUUAGCUCUUCUGCUUUGAUUUCUUGAUGAGAUAAUUGGAAAGUUGGCUACUGUUCCCUAUCAUUUUCCACUCUGCCUUGGGCUACUUUGGAAGCCAAUGCUAAUUUGAUAUUUUUUAUGGCUUUUCCAGGGGGAGUGAAUAAUGAUUUAACUUGUAGCUAUGCCAGUGAUUAGGGACAACUACAGAGACCUUCGGUACUCUUGAGUCCCCGUUUCAUGAAAAAUCAUACAGGAAAAGUGUAACUAUAUCCCCCGUGGAGCAGAUUUUUCAAGAGAGAGAUUAGACAGGAUCCUCAUAAGACUUGAGUUCAGAAAAUACAGAUCUCAGCCAUGGUUCCCUCACUGAGACAAACCACACAGCUGCUUUGGGCCUCAGUUUUAUUACCUGUAAAAUGGAGAUUGAUUUGCUUACUCACUCAACAGGUAUUUGUUUGCUGCCAAUGCACAAACAAAUAAGAUUUCCCUCCUUCACCCACAGAACUGCUGCAUUCAUAGAUCUGUGGGUCUGUGGAAAGGCUUUUCUAAAAAAUAAGUCAUGUUUCAAGUUAGCACCAAGAGUAAUAGGUUCAUUGUGCUAUAUUCAUGCAUUGCUCUUCUCAACCCCUCCUCCCUCUCUGCCUCUAUUCCUCCCCCACUUUUUCUGACUCCCUCCCCAGCAGCCCUUCUCUGCCUUCAUGUCACAUAGAUCCAGUUACCCUCUCCUCCCACUGCUGAUUUAGACACACCCACCCACUCACACCCCCCCCCCACACACACCCGAGAGGGAAGGUGCAAGUGUGUCUAUAACUCUAAGUCAAAUCUAGGUUCUAAUUUGAGAUUUGUCCGAGUUUGGCUUAAUUUGCUUAACAUGGGAUGUUUAAUUCCAUCCAUUUUCCUGCACAGGCCGUUAUUUCAUUUCUCUUUACAGCUGAAUAAAAUUUUGUUGUAUUUAUGUAUUAUUUUAUUUAUCCAUUCAUCUAAGCUAGCUCCAUAUCCUAGAUAGUGUGAAUGAUGCAGCAAUAAACAAAGGAUUGUGGAAUGCUGAGUCCUUUGGGUAUAGACUCAAUGCUAU
ensembl:lncRNA